UUAUAAAGCGCCUGGACUAUUGUAAAAAUAGUUGACGAGGUCUAAGGUUAUCGAAAUAUUCGGCGGAUGCCUUAGUGGUAUAGACUUUUACCAUAGAUUUAAUAAAAAACAAAUGGCAACAUUUGAACAGAGGUUAAAUUAA
rnacentral:ncRNA from 1 species